rnacentral:rRNA from 1 species
AAGACCCUGACGGGUAAAACCAUCACUCUGGAGGUGGAGGGCAGCGACACCGUGGACAGCGUCAAGGGCAAGGUCUAGGACAAGGAAGGGAUCCCGCCGGACCAGCAGCGGCUCAUCUUCGCCGAGAAGCAGCUGGAGGACUGUCGCUUGGGCGACUACAACGUGCACAAGGAGUCGACGCAACACCUGGUGCUCCGCCUCCGCGGCGGCACCACCGUCAAGGUCAAGAUGCCCACCGCCAAGGAGAUAGACAUCGACAUCAAGCCCACCGACACGGCCGACUGGAUCAAGGACCGCGUCGAGGAGAAGGAGGGCAUCCCGCCCGUCCAACAGAGGCUCAUAUUCGAUGGCAAGCAGAUGGCCAACGACAAGACGACGCAAGAGUACAAGGUCAAGGGCGGCUACGUGCUCCACCUCGUGCUCGCCCUCAGGGGCGGGGCCUGCUAG